GAAACGGUGAGACACAUUGAGCUGUGUGUUUGCUAUUUCCCAUUCUUCAGCAGCUGCAACACUGUUCUUCCUCGUAUCAGCAAUGUUAAUAUAAACGUCAAAUUGGCAUAUAAGUGGUGAGAUGGCCUGGACUUGUAGCCCAUAUACCUUUAAUCUCAGCACCAGGGAGGCAGGCAAACAGAUCACUGAGUUCCAAGUUGGCUUGGUCUAUAUAAUGUGUUCCAGGCCAGCCAGGGCUACAUAGUGAGAAGCAGUCUCAAGUAACAACAAAAAUGAAGUGAAGGAAUUCUGUAUCUGCCCUUCAGGUUGCAUUCAGUGUGAGUCAGGAAACAGUCAGGAGAUGAAAACAGAGGCAUAGAUUGUGCAAAAUUGGGGGACAAUGAGUACAGAGUUGCCUGGAGGUUCUCAAAAAUCUGUGUGGAGAAGCAGCGUUUGCUGUGGGGGACCCUCUGCUGAGAUUUGAAUUGUGCCACCUUUUAUCGUCAGAAAAGAAGGUGUCCUCCCAAAGCCCCCACAUGAGCUCUGCCUGAGAGGAAUGAGGGCUGAUUACUUAGUCCGCCAGCAUGGGCACAAAAUGCUCCCUUCUCCCUGGUGGUCACCUGCUGAAACCGCUCUGUGCAGAGACACUGGCUUUCUGGAAACAUCUGUGGAACGCUCUGUGAAAAUGUGUUUCAAGUACAUGGCACAUUCCUUUGAACCUCUUCUGCACUGGAACAUCUUGUUCCUUAACAGAUCUGAUAUUUAGGAACAGCCAGAAAUCAUUUGGAUGCACGUUUGGAAGACAAGGAAAACUAUCACGCUACAGAAUCACAGCUGGUGAAAUCUGGAUGGUGUUUUUUGGGUGUGAAAGGGAGGGGUUUUCACCUUGAAGCACGGAGAUUUUUUUUGAGCAUUACUCUUUUGGGGGGGUCAUGUUUUUAGCUGAUGUUACAGCCUCCCAAAUGAUUCUGUGACACAGAAAAAAAUCAGUGAUCACAAGGUCCUUUCCCCGUGGAGUGUGGAGAAAAGUCAUGGGUCAGAGCAGAGUGCAGGUUGCAGCUUCACCUGUAAUUUGAUGUGUGGUCACAGUGGUUUCCAGAGGUCCCAAAACUUCCAUGUCCUCACAUGCAAACUGGGAAGAAGAGGAUCUGGCUCCCUCUCUUGGGUCUUGUUGAGCGCAUCAAAAGUGCAGAGACUGCAGCUUCUGGAGCAGGAAGACGGUGGCAGACAGGAACUCCAGCAGAGCAGGAACCUGGAGGCAGGAGAUGAUGGAGAAGCCAUGGAAGAGUCUGCUUACUGGCUUGCACCCCAUGACUUGCUCAGUCUGCUUUCUUAUAGAACCAAGACCACAAGCUCAGGACUGACCCCACCCACAAUGGGCUGGGCCCUCCCUCAUUAACCACUAAUUAAUA
rnacentral:lncRNA from 1 species